AAUAUUAGUCAAUGCUCGCAAGAGUGAACUAGCUAACUGAAAUCAUGAGUGUGUCACUUGUGAUGUCGUAAGGGAAGAUAAUGACAUUACCUUACUAAUAGUGUCGUCCAAACUUUGGUGCCAGAAGACUCGGUAAGGCCAGAGACACAAACGUUAAUCACAUUAAACAGGCGUAAAGGGUUUGUAGGCCGCUUUAAAAAUAAAUUAAUUAAAGCUAGAAUCAAAUAUAGGUUAUAGUGUAUAAUACUUAGAGGAGGGCUUAUAUCCUUAGAUCCUAAGUGGAAUACUAAGGGCGAAGGCCACUUUCCAUUAAUGAUUGACGCUGAUAAACGAAGGUUAGGGUAGGAAAUAGGAUUAGAGACCCCGGUACCCCUUUCAGUAAACGAUGAAUGGUAGUCAUUAGUUUAAAAACUAGAGGCGAAGUUAACGCGAUAACCAUUCCGCCUUGUAAGUACAACUGCAAAGUAGAAAACAAAAAAAUUAGUCGGUCUCGAAGCAAACGAAGUGAAGCAUGUUAUUUAAUUC
rnacentral:rRNA from 1 species